AUCUUUAUGUCUCGACCAUUUCGAGACUCCUCGUCAUGUCCGUGAUCACAUCCGGGACUCCGAACAACCUUCGGUACAUCAAAAUACAUAAACUCAUAAUAUAACAGUCAUCGAAACCUUAAGCGUGCGGACCCUACGGUUCGAGAACAAUGUAGACAUGACCGAGACACGUCUCCGGUCAAUAACCAACAGCGGGACCUGGAUGCCCAUAUUGGUUCCUACAUAUUCUACGAAGAUCUUUAUCGGUCAGACCGCAUAACAACAUACGUUGUUCCCUUUGUCAUCGGUAUGUUACUUGCCCGAGAUUCGAUCGUCGGUAUCCAAUACCUAGUUCAAUCUCGUUACCGGCAAGUGUCUUUACUCGUUCUGUAAUACAUCAUCUCGUAACUAACUCAUUAGUUUCAAUGCUUGCAAGGCUUAAGUGAUGUGCAUUACCGAGAGGGCCCAGAGAUACCUCUCCGACAUUCGAAGUGACAAAUCCUAAUCUCGAAAUACGCCAACCCAACAAGUACCUUCGGUGACACCUGUAGAGCACCUUUAUAAUCACCCAGUUACGUUGUGACGUUUGGUAGCACACAAAGUGUUCCUCCGGUAAACGGGAGUUGCAUAAUCUCAUAGUCAUAGGAACAUGUAUAAGUCAUGAAGAAAGCAAUAGCAACAUACUAAACGAUCGGGUGCUAAGCUAACGGAAUGGGUCAUGUCAAUCAGAUCAUUCAACUAAUGAUGUGACCUCGUUAAUCAAAUAACAACUCCUUGUUCAUGGUUAGGAAACAUAACCAUCUUUGAUUAACAAGCUAGUCAAGUAGAGGCAUACUAGUGACACUCUGUUUGUCUAUAUAUUCACACAUGUAUUAUGUUUCCGGUUAAUACAAUUCUAGCAUGAAUAAUAAAAUUUAUCAUGAUAUAAGGAAAUAAAUAAUAACUUUAUUGUUGCCUCUAGGGCAUAUUUCCUUCAGUCUCCCACUUUCACUAGAGUCAAUAAUCUAGAUUACACAGUAAUGAUUCUAACACCCAUGGAGUCUUGGUGCUGAUCAUGUUUUGCUCGUGGAAGAGGCUUAGUCAACGGGUCUGCAACAUUUAGAUCCGUAUGUAUCUUGCAAAUCUCUCUGUCUCCCACCUGGACUAGAUCCCGGAUGGAAUUGAAGCGUCUCUUGAUGUGCUUGGUUCUCUUGUGAAAUCGGGAUUCCUUCGCUAAGGCAAUCGCUCUAGUAUUGUCACAAAAGAUUUUCAUUAGACCCGAUGCACUAGGUAUGACACCUAAAUCGGAUAUGAACUCCUUCAUCCAGACUCCUUCAUUGGCUGCUUCCGAAGCAGCUAUGUAUUCCGCUUCACAUGUAGAUCCCGCCACGACGCUUUGCUUUGAACUGCACCAACUGACAGCUCCACCGUUUAAUGUAAACACGUAUCCGGUUUGCGAUUUAGAAUCGUCCGGAUCAGUGUCAAAGCUUGCAUCAACGUAACCAUUUACGAUGAGCUCUCUGUUACCUCCAUAUAUGAGAAACAUAUCCUUAGUCCUUUUCAGGUACUUCAGGAUGUUCUUGACCGCUGUCCAGUGAUCCACUCCUGGAUUACUUUGGUACCUCCCUGCUAAACUUAUAGGAAGGCACACAUCAGGUCUGGUACACAGCAUUGCAUACAUGAUAGAGCCUAUGGCUGAAGCAUAGGGAACAUCUUUCAUUUUCUCUCUAUCUUCUGCAGUGAUCGGACAUUGAGUCUUACUCAACUUCACACCUUGCAAUACAGGCAAGAACCCUUUCUUUGCUUGAUCCAUUUUGAACUUCUUCAAAACUUUGUCAAGGUAUGUGCUUUUUAAAAGUCCAAUUAAGCGUUUUGAUCUAUCUCUAUAGAUCUUAAUGCCCAAUAUGUAAGCAGCUUCACCGAGGUCUUUCAUUGAAAAACUUUUAUUCAAGUAUCCCUUUAUGCUAUCCAGAAAUUAUAUAUCAUUUCCAAUCAACAAUAUGUCAUCCACAUAUAAUAUUAGAAAUUCUACAGAGCUCCCACUCACUUUCUUGUAAAUACAGGCUUCUCCAAAAGUCUGUAUAAACCCAAAUGCUUUGAUCACACUAUCAAAGCAUUUAUUCCAACUCCGAGAGGCUUGCACCAGUCCAUAAAUGGAUCGCUGGAGCUUGCACACUUUGUUAGCUCCCUUUGGAUCGAUAAAACCUUCUGGUUGCAUCAUAUACAACUCUUCCUCCAGAAACCCAUUAAGGAACGCAGUUUUUACAUCCAUUUGCCAAAUUUCAUAAUCAUAAAAUGCGGCAAUUGCUAACAUGAUUCGGAUAGACUUAAGCAUCGCUACGGGUGAGAAGGUCUCAUCGUAGUCAAUCCCUUGAACUUGUCGAAAACCUUUUGCAACAGCUCGAGCUUUGUAGACAGUAACAUUACCGUCAGCGUCAGUCUUCUUCUUGAAGAUCCAUUUAUUCUCAAUUGCUUGCCGAUCAUCGGGCAAGUCAACCAAAGUCCAUACUUUGUUCUCAUACAUGGAUCCCAUCUCAGAUUUCAUGGCUUCAAGCCAUUUUGCGGAAUCUGGGCUCACCAUCGCUUCUUCAUAGUUCAUAGGUUCAUCGUGAUCUAGUAGCAUGACUUCUAGAAUAGGAUUACCGUACCACUCUGGUGCAGAUCUUAUUCUGUUUGACCUACGAGGUUCUGUAGUAACUUGAUCUGAAGUUCUAUGAUCAUCAUCAUCAACUUCCUCACUAGUUGGUUUUGACGUCACAGAAACCGGUUCCUGUGAUGUACUAAUUUCCAACAAAGGAGUAGGUAUAGUUACCUCAUCAAGUUCUACUUUCCUCCCACUCACUUCUUUCGAGAGAAACUCCUUCUCUAGAAAGGAUCCAUUCUUAGCAACGAAUGUCUUGCCUUCGGAUCUGUGAUAGAAGGUGUACCCAACUGUCUCCUUUGGGUAUCCUAUGAAGACACAUUUCUCUGAUUUGGGUUCUAGCUUAUCAGGUUGAAGUUUUUUCACAUAAGCAUCGCAGCCCCAAACUUUAACAAACGACAACUUUGGUUUCCUGCCAAACCAUAGUUCAUAAGGUGUCGUCUCAACGGAUUUUGAUGGUGCCCUAUUUAAUGUGAAUGUUGCCGUCUCUAAAGCAUAACCCCAAAACGAUAGCGGUAAAUCAGUAAGAGACAUCAUAGAUCACACCAUAUCAAGUAAAGUACGAUUACGAUGUUCAGACACACCAUUACGCUGUGGUGUUCCGGGUGGCGUGAGUUGCGAAACUAUUCCGCAUUGUUUGAAGUGUAGACCAAACUCGUAACUCAAAUAUUCUCCUCCACGAUCAGAUCGUAGAAACUUUAUUUUCUUGUUACGAUGACUUUCAACUUCAAUCUGAAAUUCUUUGAACUUUUCAAAUGUUUCAGACUUAUGCUUCAUUAAGUAGAUAUACCCAUAUCUGCUUAAAUCAUCUGUGAAGGUGAGAAAAUAACGAUAUCCGCCACGAGUUUAACAUUCAUCGGACCACAUACAUCUGUAUGUAUGAUUUCCAACAAAUCUAUUGCUCUCUCCAUAGUACCGGAGAAUGGCGUUUUGGUCAUCUUGCCCAUGAGGCACGGUUCGCAAGUACCAAGUGAUUCAUAAUCAAGUGAUUCCAAAAGUCCAUCAGUAUGGAGUUUCUUCAUGCGUUUUACACCGAUAUGACCUAAACGGCAGUGCCACAAAUAAGUUGCACUAUUAUUAUUAACUCUGCAUCUUUUGGCUUCGACAUUAUGAAUAUGUGUAUUACUACUAUCGAGAUUCAACAAAAAUAGACCACUCUUCAAGGGUGCGUGACCAUAAAAGAUAUUACUCAUAUAAAUAGAACAACCAUUAUUCUCUGAUUUAAAUGAAUAACCGUCUCGCAUCAAACAAGAUCCAGAUAUAAUGUUCAUGCUCAACGCUGGCACCAAAUAACAAUUAUUCAGGUCUAAAACUAAUCCCGAAGGUAGAUGUAGAGGUAGCGUGCCGACUGCGAUCACAUCGACUUUGGAACCAUUUCCCAUGCGCAUUGUCACCUCAUCCUUGGCCAGUGCUCGCUUAUUCUGUAGUCCCUGUUUCGAGUUGCAAAUGUUAGCAACAGAACCAGUAUCAAAUACCCAGGUGCUACUGCGAGCUCUAGUAAGGUACACAUCAAUAACAUGUAUAUCACAUAUACCUUUGUUCACCUUGCCAUCCUUCUUAUCCGCCAAAUACUUGGGGCAGUUCCGCUUCCAGUGUCCAGUCUGCUUGCAGUAGAAGCACUCAGUUUCAGGCUUAGGUCCAGACUUGGGUUUCUUCUCUUGAGCAGCAACUUGCUUGCUGUUCUUCUUGAAGUUCCCCUUCUUCUUCCAUUUGCCCUUUUUCUUGAAACUAGUGGUCUUGUUGACCAUCAACACUUGAUGCUCCUUCUUGAUUUCUACUUCCGCAGCCUUUAGCAUUGCGAAGAGCUCGGGAAUCGUUUUAUCCACCCCUUGCAUAUUAUAGUUCAUCACGAAGCUCUUGUAGCUUGGUGGAAGUGAUUGGAGAAUUUUGUCAAUGACGCUAUCAUCCGGAGAGUAACUCCCAGUUGAAUCAAGUGAUUACAAUACCCAGACAUCUUGAGUAUAUGCUCACUGACAGAACUAUUCUCCUCCAUCUUGCAGCUAUAGAACUUAUUGGAGACUUCAUAUCUCUCAAUCCGGGCAUUCUUCUGGAAUAUUAACUUCAACUCCUGGAACAUCUCAUAUGCUCCAUGACGUUCAAAACGUUGUUGAAGUCCCGGUUCUAAGCCGUAAAGCAUGGCACAUUGAACUAUCGAAUAGUCAUCAGCUUUGCUCUGCCAGACGUUCUUAACGUCGUCAGUUGCAUCAGCAGCAGGCCUGGCACCCAGCGGUUCUUCCAGGACGUAAUUUUUCUGUGAAGCAAUGAGGAUAAUCCUCAAGUUACGGACCCAGUCCGCGUAGUUGCUACCAUCAUCUUUCAACUUUGCUUUCUCAAGGAACGCAUUAAAAUUCAACGGAACAACAGCACGGGCCAUCUAUCUACAAACAACAUAGACAAGCAAGAUACUAUCAGGUACUAAGUUCAUGAUAAAUUUAAGUUCAAUUAAUCAUAUUACUUAAGAACUCCCACUUAGACAGACAUCUCUCUAGUCAUCUAAGUGAUCACGUGAUCCAAAUCAACUAAACCAUAACCGAUCAUCACGUGAGAUGGAGUAGUUUUCAAUGGUGAACAUCUUAUGUUGAUCAUAUCUACUAUAUGAUUCAGGCUCGACCUUUCGGUCUCCGUGUUCCAAGGCCAUAUCUGCAUAUGCUAGGCUCGUCAAGUUUAACCUGAGUAUUCUGCGUGUGCAAAACUGGCUUGCACUCGUUGUAGAUGGACAUAGAGCUUAUCACACCCGAUCAUCACAUGGUGUCUGGGCACGACGAACUUUGGCAACGGUGCAUACUCAGGGAGAACACUUCUAGAUAAUUUUUAAUGAGAGAUCAUCUUAAAAUGCUACCGUCAAUCAAUGCAAGAUAAGAUGCAUAAAGGAUGAACAUCACAUGCAAUCAAUAUAAGUGAUAUGAUAUAGCCAUCAUCAUCUUGUGCUUGUGAUCUCCAUCUCCGAAGCACCAUCAUGGUCACCAUCGUCACCGGCGCGACACCUUGAUCUCCAUCGUAGCAUCGUUUGUCGUUUAUGCCAUCUAUUGCUUCUACGACUAUCGCUACCGCUUAGUGAUAAAGUAAAGCAAUUACAAGGCGUUUGCAUUUCAUACAAUAAAGCGACAACCAUAUGGCUCCUGCCAGUUGCCGAUAACUUCGGUUACAAAACAUGAUCAUCUCAUACAAUAAAAUAUAGCAUCAUGUCUUGGCCAUAUCACAUCACAACAUGCCCUGAAAAAACAAGUUAGACGUCCUCUACUUUGUUGUUGCAAGUUUUAUGUGGCUGCUACGGGCUUAAGCAAGAACCAAUCUCACCUACGCAUCAAAACCACAACGAUAGUUUGUCAAGUUGAUGCUGUUUUAACCUUCGCAAGGACCGGGCGUAGCCACACUCGGUUCAACUAAAGUUGGAGAAACUGACACCCGCUAGUCACCCGUGUGCAAAGCACGGCGGUAAAACCAGUCUCACGUAAGCGUACGCGUAAUGUCGGUCCGGGCCGCUUCAUCCAACAAUACCGCCGAACCAAAGUAUGACAUGCUGGUAAGCAGUAUGACUUAUAUCGCCCACAACUCAUUUGUGUUCUACUCGUGCAUAUAACAUCAAACCAUAAAACAUAGGCUCGGAUGCCACUGUAGGGGAACGUAGUAAUUUCAAAAAAAAUUAUCUUACGCACACGCAAGAUCAUGGUGAUGCAUAGCAACGAGAGGGGAGAGUGUAGUCUACGUACCCUCGUAGACCGAAGCGGAAGCGUUGACGCAACGUAGAGGAAGUAGUCGUACGUCUUCCCGGUCCAACCGAUCCAAGCUCCGUUACUCCGACACCUCCGAGUUCUUGACACACGUACUGCUCGAUGACGCACCCCGAGCUCCGAUCCAGCAAAGCUUCGGGGAGGAUUUCCUUCAGCACGACGGUGUGGUGACGAUCUUGAUGUUCAACCGUCGCAGGGCUUCGCCUAAGCACCUCUACAAUAUGACCGAGGUGUAAUAUCGUGGAGGGGGGCACCACACACGGCUAAGGAACGAUCACGAAGAUCAACUUGUGUGUCUAUGGGGUGCCCCCCUCCUCCGUAUAUAAAGGGGGAGAGGAGGAGGGGGCCGGCCAAGAGGGGAGGCGCGCCCUAGGGGGGGCAAACCUACUCCAAGUAGGUUUGGCCCCCCUUUCCUAUUAGGAGUAGGAGAGGGAAGGAAGAGAGGGGAGGGAAGAAGGAAAGGGGGGCCGGCCCCCCUCCCAAUUCGGAUUGGGCUUGGGGGGAGGGGGCGCCCCCUCCUUUGCUCCUUCUCCCUCCUUUCCACUAAGGCCCAAUAAGGCCCAUAUACUUACCGGGGGGUUCCGGUAACCUCCCGGAACUCCGGUAUAGUCCCAAUCUCAUCCGGAACCUUUCCGGUGUCCAAAUAUAUCCGUCCAAUAUAUCAAUCUUUAUGUCUCGACCAUUUCGAGACUCCUCGUCUUGUCCGUGAUCACAUCGGGGACUCCGAACAACCUUCGGUACAUCAAAAUACAUAAACUCAUAAUAUAACUCUCAUCGAAACCUUAAGCGUGCGGACCCUACGGUUCGAGAACAAUGUAGACAUGAUCGAGACACGUCCCUGGUCAAUAACCAACAGCGGGACCUGGAUGCCCAUAUUGGUUCCUACAUAUUCUACGAAGAUCUUUAUCGGUCAGACCGCAUAACAACAUACGUUGUUCCCUUUGUCAUCGGUAUGUUACUUGCCCGAGAUUCGAUCGUCGGUAUCCAAUACCUAGUUCAAUCUCGUUACCGGCAAGUCUCUUUACUCGUUCCGUAAUACAUCAUCU
rnacentral:lncRNA from 1 species